UACAGAGGGUGCAAGCGUUAAUCGGAGUUACUGGGCGUAAAGGGCGCGUAGGUGGUUGUUUAAGUGAGAUGUGAAAUCCCUGGGCUUAACCUAGGAACUGCAUCUUAUACUGGACGACUGGAGUACUGUAGAGGGUAGUGGAAUUUCCGGUGUAGCGGUGAAAUGCGUAGAGAUCGGAAGGAACACCAGUGGCGAAGGCGGCUACCUGGACAGAUACUGACACUGAGGCGCGAGAGCGUGGGGAGCAAACAG
rnacentral:rRNA from 1 species